rnacentral:misc_RNA from 1 species
AACGCACCUUGCGCCCCUUGGUAUUCUGAGGGGCACGCCCGUUUGAGUGUCGUGAAUAUCCUCAACCUUUCUUGGUUUCUUAACUGAGGAAGGCUUGGACUUUGGAGGUUUUUGUUUUUUUUUUUUUUUUUUGCUGGCCUUCCUUUGAAGCCCAGCUCCUCCUAAAUGAAUCAGUGGGGUCCGCUUUGCCGAUCCUUGACGUGAUAAGUAUGCUUCUACGUCUUGGGUUUCGCACUGUUGUCUCGGAACCUGCUUCCAACCGUCUUUAAAGGAAGACAAUGUUCGAGUUACCACUCGACCUUACAAACCUUGACCUCAAAUCGGGUGAGACUACCCGCUGAACUUAA